AAACCAAGGAAAUGCAACACCAAAUCCUCAGGUCCCUGAUUAUCCUCCAAACUAUAUUUUAUUCCUUAAUAAUUUACCGGAAGAGACUAAUGAGAUGAUGCUAUCCAUGCUGUUUAAUCAGUUCCCUGGUUUCAAGGAAGUACGUUUGGUACCUGGGAGGCAUGACAUUGCUUUUGUUGAAUUUGAAAACGAUGGACAGGCUGGAGCUGCCAGGGAUGCUUUACAGGGCUUUAAGAUCACACCAUCCCAUGCCAUGAAGAUCACUUAUGCCAAAAAAUAACAUUUGGGAUAGUUGUCUUUAAAGGACUUGGUAUUUAUGGUGUUUGUUUUGAUAAUGUUUGGUCAGGCCAUUUUAUUGGGGGGAGUGGGGAUGUGUAUGUGAAAUUUUUGUAAAGGAUUUAAAAAAUUACCUAGUCUUUGGUUAGCCUCAGUGAACUGUGAACUGCAAAGGCCUUAAUUUUGCCCAAUAAACAUUUAUUUGUAUUUUGUA